rnacentral:rRNA from 1 species
UAUCUAAACGGAGAAAUUCAAUAUUGCCCCUCGCGGACGCAAUGUGCACUUUUCUCUUAGUAAGACGCCGUGAUCCAUUAGAAAUUGGUGCACGCCAAGUGCACAGUGGGUCACCAAUAGGCCGACGUGAAGUUUAUUCGGAACAAAUGGCGCAAUCUUUUACGGUCGCGUGUAUUGUCUGGUAAGCGCGUCGAUACCUGCAGUGACUGUCUGAUGGGUUUUGGGGAUUGCAUCAAUGGUGUUUCGGCACCAACGCGCUUCGCGUAGCUCGAUGUAUAUCUGAUCAACGGCGGUCAAAUUUGGGAUACCUUUUGGACCCGUCUUGAAACACGGACCAAGGAGUCUAUCUAGUAUGCGAGUAAAUGGAUAGUCUGUUGAAAUCUAUUUGCGCAACAAACAUGACUGUUUUCAUGGGAUUACGACGAUGCGGCCCCUYAAAAAGGCCGUUCGUCUUCCAUCCCGGGGUAUUUUUGUCAACAUAUGCGCAAGCGUAUGGAAAAUAUACCAUGAGCACACUGGAUACGACCCGAAAGAUGGUGAACUAUGCCUGAUCAGGUCGAAGUCAGGGGAAACUCUGAUGGAGGACCGAAGCAGUUCUGACGUGCAAAUCG